CAAUUAUUCCCUCCGUCCAACAAAAGAUGUCUCAACUUUGACCAAAUUUGAAUGCAUCUAUACACUAAGUCAUGUUUAGAUACAUCCAAAUUUUGACAUCUUUUGUUGGACGGAGGGAGUAGAAU
rnacentral:pre_miRNA from 1 species